GAUGAAGAACGUAGCGAAAUGCGAUACGUAAUGUGAAUUGCAAAUUCAGUGAAUCAUCGAGUCUUUGAGCGCACAUUGCGCCCCCUGGUAUUCCGGGGGGCAUGCCUGUCCGAGCGUCAUUGCUGCCCUCAAGCACGGCUUGUGUGUUGGGCCCCGUCCUCCGAUCCCGGGGGACGGGCCCGAAAGGCAGCGGCGGCACCGCGUCCGGUCCUCGAGCGUAUGGGGCUUUGUCACCCGCUCUGUAGGCCCGGCCGGCGCUUGCCGAUCAACCCAAAUUUUUAUCCAGGUUGACCUCGGAUCAGGUAGGGAUACCCGCUGAACUUAAGCAUAUCAAUAAGCGGAGGA
rnacentral:misc_RNA from 1 species